CAGAAGAACAUCUUUGCACAUUUGAAAAUUGGAGAUGGUGAUUCAUCUGUUCAGGAGACCUGCUGUUUAUUCAACCACGGGGCAAUUGUUGGUUUGUGGGCUUCUUGGAGCAAUUUUGCAGCACUGUCCCAAAGGUGACCCUCACCUCAUCACCUCUACUCUGGGUGAUGGAAAGCUACUGGAGAGUCUAUACAAGAUUAUCCCACACAGAUCUGUUGGAAUUACUCCGUGAUGAUUUCAAAGAAAAACUUCUUCUCUAAACUUUCUUAUCCCAAGUGCCUGUCUCUCAACAUCUUCUGUGAAAUUUUAUGAAGCUUUGAAGUCCUAGUUCCAAGUAAACAAAUCAGCAUUUACUUUCCUCAACUCAUCAUGAUAGUAUUAAAUAUCUUCCCCAAGACUUAAACUUUCUCUUCUAACAUUG